rnacentral:lncRNA from 1 species
CUCUGAGACUUCAUCACAAUGAUGAGCAUUCACAAGUCACAUUUCAUUUGUUGCGAGAAUUUGAAGAAAUUAUUAGUACCAAUUUCUUCACUUUACUGCAAGAAGUACUUUUGCCCAUAAAUUAAAAAAUAAUUUAGCAUGGAUUUAAGAUUUUUGUGAGCUAAUUCAGUACGUUUCGUAAUUUUUAGGUUUGAAGAGGAAAUAUCCAUAGUUCCUCCUCCUCCACCUCCUCCACCAUUCAUUCCUGCUGCCGUAGCCAAUCGCAUGGUUAUCGGAACCAAUACUUAUAACCAAGUUCAAAAUCAACUGGAUGCUAUGCCACCGAGAAUGCCUUUUCCUGGCCCAAUGGAUCCAAUGAGUUUACCAGCUGGACCACCUGGACCACCUGGACCACCUGGACUACCUGGGCCACCGAGACCUCCUAUGGGAGGUAAUUUUGGUCAUGGUCCUCCGCCACUUUUUCCACGAGGGCCUGGUCCCAUGGGUUUUCCUCCUAAUUUUCCAGAAGGACCUCCAAUGAUGCCUCCAAACAUGCCUCCCAACAUGAUGGGUCCGAACCAUGGACUCCCUGACAUGAUGGGACCACCCGGUUUUGGCAAUGGACCCCCAGGUUUUGGCAAUGGUCCCCCAGGUUUCUUCCCUCCUCCUCCUCCUGCUUUUGUCAAGUCUCAGAUCGAAAGAAAAGAAAGCUCCAGUAGUACUAAGGUAAGGGUUUUCAUGAUUCUUAACUCGAGUUUAUCGAAGGAAUUCAUAGAAAUGACAUUUUUUUUAUUAUUAUUAUAA